rnacentral:rRNA from 1 species
UAGGGAAUCUUCGGCAAUGGGGGGAACCCUGACCGAGCAACGCCGCGCGAGUGAAGAAGGUUUUCGGAUCGUAAAGCUCUGUUGUUAAGGAAGAACGAGUGUGAGAAUGGAAAGUUCAUACUGUGACGGUACUUAACCAGAAAGGGACGGCUAACUACGUGCCAGCAGCCGCGGUAAUACGUAGGUCCCGAGCGUCGUCCGGAUUUAUUGGGCGUAAAGCGAGCGCAGGCGGUUAGAUAAGUCUGAAGUUAAAGGCAGUGGCUCAACCAUUGUAGGCUUUGGAAACUGUUUAACUUGAGUGCAGAAGGGGAGAGUGGAAUUCCAUGUGUAGCGGUGAAAUGCGUAGAUAUAUGGAGGAACACCGGUGGCGAAAGCGGCUCUCUGGUCUGUAACUGACGCUGAGGCUCGAAAGCGUGGGGAGCGAACAGG